rnacentral:rRNA from 1 species
GAUCCCCAGCUUGCUGGGGUGAUUAGUGGCGAACGGGUGAGUAACACGUGAGUAACCUGCCCUUAACUCUGGGAUAAGCCUGGGAAACUGGGUCUAAUACCGGAUAUGACUUCUCAUCGCAUGGUGGGGGGUGGAAAGCUUUUUGUGGUUUUGGAUGGACUCGCGGCCUAUCAGCUUGUUGGUGAGGUAAUGGCUUACCAAGGCGACGACGGGUAGCCGGCCUGAGAGGGUGACCGGCCACACUGGGACUGAGACACGGCCCAGACUCCUACGGGAGGCAGCAGUGGGGAAUAUUGCACAAUGGGCGCAAGCCUGAUGCAGCGACGCCGCGUGAGGGAUGACGGCCUUCGGGUUGUAAACCUCUUUCAGUAGGGAAGAAGCGAAAGUGACGGUACCUGCAGAAGAAGCGCCGGCUAACUACGUGCCAGCAGCCGCGGUAAUACGUAGGGCGCAAGCGUUAUCCGGAAUUAUUGGGCGUAAAGAGCUCGUAGGCGGUUUGUCGCGUCUGCCGUGAAAGUCCGGGGCUCAACUCCGGAUCUGCGGUGGGUACGGGCAGACUAGAGUGAUGUAGGGGAGACUGGAAUUCCUGGUGUAGCGGUGAAAUGCGCAGAUAUCAGGAGGAACACCGAUGGCGAAGGCAGGUCUCUGGGCAUUAACUGACGCUGAGGAGCGAAAGCAUGGGGAGCGAACAGGAUUAGAUACCCUGGUAGUCCAUGCCGUAAACGUUGGGCACUAGGUGUGGGGGACAUUCCACGUUUUCCGCGCCGUAGCUAACGCAUUAAGUG